AUACGGAGGGUGCAAGCGUUAAUCGGAAUUACUGGGCGUAAAGAGUACGUAGGUGGUUUAUUAAGUCAGAUGUGAAAGCCCCGGGCUCAACCUGGGAACUGCAUUUGAAACUAGUAGACUAGAGUAUGGUAGAGGGGGGUAGAAUUUCUAGUGUAGCGGUGAAAUGCGUAGAUAUUAGAAGGAAUACCAGUGGCGAAGGCGGCCCCCUGGACCAAUACUGACACUGAGGUACGAAAGCGUGAGUAGCGAACAGGAUUAGAAACCCCAGUAGUCC
rnacentral:rRNA from 1 species